UACGGAGGGGACUAGCGUUGUUCGGAAUUACUGGGCGUAAAGCGCACGUAGGCGGAUUUGUAAGUCAGGGGUGAAAUCCCGGGGCUCAACCUCGGAACUGCCUUUGAUACUGCAAAUCUCGAGUCCGGAAGAGGUGAGUGGAAUUCCUAGUGUAGAGGUGAAAUUCGUAGAUAUUAGGAAGAACACCAGUGGCGAAGGCGGCUCACUGGUCCGGUACUGACGAUGAGGUGCGAAAGCGUGGGGAGCAAACAGG
rnacentral:rRNA from 1 species